rnacentral:rRNA from 1 species
CUUCGGCCCGAGUUGUAAUUUGCAGAGGAUGUUUAUGGUGCGGUACCAACCGAGUUCCCUGGAACGGGACGCCACAGAGGGUGAGAGCCCCGUCUGGUUGGAUACUAAACCUGUGUUAAACUCCUUCAACGAGUCGAGUAGUUUGGGAAUGCUGCUCUAAACGGGAGGUAAAUCUCUUCUAAAGCUAAAUACUGGCCAGAGACCGAUAGCGCACAAGUAGAGUGAUCGAAAGAUGAAAAGCACCUUGAAAAGGGGGUUAAACAGUACGUGAAAUUGUUGAAAGGGAAGCGUUUAUGACCAGACUUGUGCUGUGUGGCUCAUCCGAGGUUCUCCUCGGUGCACUCCAUGCAGCUCAGGCCAACAUCGGUUCUUGUUGGGGGAUAAGAAUAGUAGGAAUGUGGCUCUCUUCGGGGAGUGUUAUAGCCUAUUAUACGAUACCUUGAUGGGGACCGAGGACCGCGCUUCGGCUAGGAUGUUGGCGUAAUGGUCAUUAGCGACCCGUCUUGAAACACGGACCAAGGAGUCGUCCAUUAGAGCGAGCGUUUGGGUGUAAAACCCGCACGCGUAAUGAAAGUGAAAUUAGGUGAGAGCUUCGGCGCAUCAUCGACCGAUCCUGAAGUUUACGGAUGGAUUUGAGUAAGAGUUUUAACGGACGGACCCGAAAGACAGUGAACUAUGCUUGAAUAGGGUGAAGCCAGAGGAAACUCUGGUGGAGGCUCGCAGCGGUUCUGACGUGCAAAUCGAUCGUCAAAUUUGAGCAUGGGGGCGAAAGACUAAUCGAAC